rnacentral:lncRNA from 1 species
CUCUGAGGACUCCACACAGCAAAGGACAGCGGGCCCAUCCUGGCAAAGAGCCCUUACCAGCAGAUGCUUGGGAACGCACAGUCCUGAAAUGUUGGCGGCUCCUGAUCUCCACCACUGAGCCAUCUGGAAGAUAAAUGGGAUCCUGUGCACCAUGCCGGAGACUCCGAAGUUGUCUAUCCUGUUCCCAACAAGCUUGGACUCCAGGAACUCUGUCCGUGCUGUGACCUGACCCAGCCUGACUCCUGCCCCUGGCCUUCUUCUUCCCACCAGAUGAAAUGCUGGGUGACCUUGAGUCACCCACAGCAGGGGAGCAGCAUUUUGCUGUCCAUCACAGACAGUAUUGUGAAAAUUACAGCAAAAAGAAAUUACUCCAAAAAAAUGAAAUCAAAAGGCACAAAAUAUAUACUCUACUUUUUUGUUAUUA